rnacentral:lncRNA from 1 species
GCAUCUCUGAUUAUGCCUGCUCUUCAGUUGCAUCAUCCCUGUCCUCUGAAGCCCUCGUCACGCUGCUGACUUGCAAGGAGCCGAGUAGCGUGAUCAGCAGCGCAGAGACGUGGAAGCUUUUCAUCCAGAAAGUCGCGGGAGUUCUGGAGGCUGCUCUGUCAGCGUACUCCAACAGCAACCUCAGUGACCAUCAGCCUGAGUCCCGUAUUCUCGAUGCCAUUGCAGAGGUGAAAGUCAACAACUUCAGCGCCAUUCUCGAUGCCAUUGGAGAGGUGAAAGUCAACAACUUCAAUGCCACACAACUUACAGAUGUCAGCUUCAUUACCGACUGGUUCCAGGGAAGGCUGAGACCAUUCUUGCCAGCAGUCUCCAGUGAUUUCCUGUUCUGCCUUAGCUCCAAGAACUUUAGUUGCGACACCUACCAAGUUGUGGUGCAGGCUCUCAGUCGUCAAGCGUCCCUCAUGGAGGUGGGACAACAACGGGUCGUCUUCACUGAUUUUGUCCAUCCCUUCCUCUCGAGAGAUGACCUACCAGAUCCUGCCUGUCUUGCCAAUAUUACGAGCAGCGCUGACUGGCUGGAGAAGAACUUUGGCAACUUCUCCGUCUACGCUACCUUGGAGGAUUUGCAAACGCUGAAUGAAAAUUUCUCCAGCUUUGCAUCGUUGGAGGUUCUGAGCCCUAGCCAAGUAGCUGAACUGACACUGAGCUCCGGAGCGUUGAACAACACCAAUCAGAUCGACGCUGUGUUCGACCGCCUGGAGAAUGGCAACGCUUUUAAGAAUGUGGAGGAGUUUCUGACGGCUCUAACCGCAUCUCCUGAGGCAAGUCAAUGAGUCAAAGUGUCUGACAGAGGCCGCGUGUGGAAGCCAUGAAGAGUAGCCCGAAGAACGCUACUUUCACGCAGUGCCAUUCACACUCCCGGUGUUUUGUCCCCGCAGAUUCCCGAUAUCACCCCGGCUGUGAGAGACGUGAUGAUGAACCGAACCUUCGUAAUCAUUGAACUGAAGUUCCAGGAAUUUGUGGCUCAUGACUGGGAAGUGUGGUUCACCGAGAAGCUCAUCCCUGUCCUCCCCAGUUUCACCGCAGAAAUGCUGCUUAAGGUCACAGCUGACAUCAACUGCACCAACUACCAUAUGAUGUGAGUGAUUCUAUAUAUUAUUUCUUUAAAUGUUUUGAUUU